CCCACCACAAAAUCCGUCCCUGGUUGAAGUAGCAGAAGAAGCUUGAAGGUGAGUGCAAAUAUAAGAGGUUACAAAAAGGUCGAAUCGAUAAACGGGAAGGAAGUGAAUGGGAUUCAUGUUGAGGAGAUGCCAUUUUUAGGCCAAAGAAACGCUGAUUUAAUCAAAGAUACCAUCAUAGAAGAACCAACUCAUGAAUACCUUCUUGGCAGGUUUAUUGAGGAUAGCCCUUAAUCAUGUAGCAAGCUCAGGUGUUGGUGGCAAUGGAUUUGGUGCAACUACGGAGAUGAGCCUCAAGAAACUGAUUUGGGUCAUCACUCGCGUACACGUUGAAGUCGAUAAAUACAGCUCCUGGGAUGAUGCUGUAGAGAUUGAUAAUAGGGUAGACGCCGCUAGGAAAAAUGGAAUGCGUCAUGACUGGAUAAUUCGAGACUUCUAUACUCACAAGAUCAUAACAAGAGCAUUAGAGCAACAAGGUUCACCUUCUAAAUAACAGCACAAAUUCCUCAGUUUCUUCAUAUAAAACUCGAAUUGCAUAUUUUGUAUAUGUGUGAUCAUGACUAGAAACAAGAAGAUUGUGUAAAAUCCCUGACGAAGUUAAAAAGGAAGUCCAGCCCUUUUACUUCAAUAGAACAGCCAUUGCAACAGAAGAUAUUGA